CGACGAUCAGUAGCCGACCUGAGAGGGCGACCGGCCACAUUGGGACUGAGACACGGCCCAAACUCCUACGGGAGGCAGCAGUGGGGAAUAUUGCACAAUGGGGGAAACCCUGAUGCAGCGACGCCGCGUGAGUGAGGAAGUAUUUCGGUAUGUAAAGCUCUAUCAGCAGGGAAGAAAAUGACGGUACCUGACUAAGAAGCCCCGGCUAACUACGUGCCAGCAGCCGCGGUAAUACGUAGGGGGCAAGCGUUAUCCGGAUUUACUGGGUGUAAAGGGAGCGUAGACGGAUAAGCAAGUCUGAUGUGAAAAUCCGGGGCCCAACCCCGGAAUUGCAUUGGAAACUGCAUAUCUAGAGUGUCGGAGAGGCAAGUGGAAUUCCUGGUGUAGCGGUGAAAUGCGUAGAUAUCAGGAGGAACACCAGUGGCGAAGGCGGCUUGCUGGACGAUGACUGACGUUGAGGCUCGAAAGCGUGGGGAGCAAACAGGAUUAGAUACCCUGGUAGUCCACGCCGUAAACGAUGACUACUAGGUGUCGGG
rnacentral:rRNA from 1 species